CUGCCCCUGAGGCAUGGGGAAGUUCCUGGGCCAGGGAUGGAACCCACGCCACAGCAGUGGCAACGCCAGAUUCCUGACCUGCUGAGCCACCAAGGAACUCCAUAACCUGUGAAUUUUAACUUGCUGGAAGCACACACGUCUCUAAACUAAGUGUCUACAGCACUUAUUCUAUUCCAACCACUUUAGAACUACAAAAAGAUAUUAUUAGAUUGCUAUCUUUGUCAAGCUCCCAGUAGGGUUUUAGGAUCUUUUCUAGGUACUGUUUCUUUGUCAUUUCCACCUCUUUGUUUGCUCUGAUUAUCCUUUUGGAAAUAUACACUAAUCAUGUGUAACAGUUAAAAGGGAGAAAUGGUAAGAAGAAAAAAUUGUGAAAGAUUUCAACGAAUGAGGAAGUUGUUAAAACCCUAUUAACUUCUUUGCAGAACAGAUACUGACUCACAGACUUUGAAAAACUUAUGGUCUCUAAAGGAGGCAGUUUUGGGGGUGUGGGGGAUGCGCUGGGGUUGUGGGAUGGAAAUCCUAUAAAACUGGAUUGUGGUGAUCAUUGUAUAACUACAAAUGUAAUAAAGACAUUGAGUAAUAAAAAAAACCCUUUGAGAGAGGACAAUAAUGAGAUUUCAAGGCAAGGAACAGGUAAUCAUAUUAAUGAUUAAAGAAAACGUUUGCUGCUUUCAUGUGCCAGGCAAGGAGCUAACCACACUGUAUGAAUGGACAAACUGAAUUCUUCUUUACAGCCCCUAGUUGCCAAGGAGGAACAACAGGCUGGGAGAAGAUGUGGAAUUUUUCCAGUGUCACACACCUGCCAGUGGCCCGUCUGGACCAAUGGGGCAUGCACUAAACUUAUUCCUUCUAGACUGGGUAGGGGAGCAAAGCUUGCUACCCUAAAGUGUCUCUUUAGUUUAUGGGUUAUUUCUAGCUUAAAAACUAUCAACAUCCAAAAGAUUCAGGAAGAACCUCCGACCAUCCCCCAACUGCCUAAAAUCACAGAAAUAAGGCACAAAGUUCCCAAACAGGGCACUGAACAGAACACAUAAAGGACCCUGUUUACAGUGUGAAAGCCAGGACAAGAAGACAGAGUGUCACAUUGUACAACCUAAGCUGGGAAAGUGAGUGCCAGGGGACUCAAGCUUUUCACCAUGCAUUUGAGGUCACCUCUCCAAUAAGUUACUCCUACUACAAUCCUUGCUCUGGGUUCUGCUGGUGAGAAAAUCUGAACUCUAUCACUAUUGCUCUUGACAUUCCAAAGUAGAAAAUGGCACAUAAUCAUUUCCACUAGGGCUGGGACUAUGACUAGCUCCUCCAUGGCUGUGUUCCUUCUUCCUGGUCCAAAUCUGGCAGGUGUAGGUUUCAAGAACUGCUAAUUUUUAUUAAAGUAUAUGGUUUACUUACAAUAUUAGUUUCAGGUGUACAACAGAGUCAUUUGAUAUUUUUGUAGAUUAUACUCCAUCAAAAGUUAUUUAAAAGGUUGGCUAUAUUCCCUGUGUACAUUACAUCCUGGCAAAUUAACUAUUUUAUACCUAGCAGUUUGUACCUCUAAUCCCCAUUCAUCCAUCUUGCCCACUCCCUUUCUGGUAACCUGUCUUAAGUUUUCUGUAUCGGUAAGUCUGUUUCAGUUUUGCUUUGUUACUUUGUUUUAUUCUUUAGAGUCCAUGUGGAAGUGAAAAUAUACAGAAUUUGUCUUUCUCUGUCUGGCUUAUUUCACUCUGCCUAUAUCCUCCAGAAUUACUUUUGAAUCAAUCAUUUGCAAACACUGCACAUAACAGAUGGCCCCUUUCUUUUUCUCUUUAUACCUUUGUUUUGUGAAGUGAAACUAUGUCGGCUUAGAAUUAAAUGUGAGGGGUCAAACAGCAUUCAGGGUCAAGAACAGUGAUGUCACUGUUUUUUCUUAUCCAGAGGUGGAGUUUAUGGCGAGGCUGAUGAUGGCAUCAGAACUAGAGUUCUUACCAAAAGAAAUCAGCGAGUGAGAAGAAGGUUGGAAGAAAUUAAUCUCACCAGAAUCGACUGUCCUUGGUCAGGAUGAGUCCAUUCUUUUCAAGCCCUGUGAGUGUGCUGGGCUGUCUUCACUGCCUUUUCCCUGACUGCUCCCCUCUGUAGGUAGAUGUCAUCUCCCCCCAUCACCAGACUUCAAAAGGAGGUACCUCCCCACCCCUGACCACUCUUCUGUUCUCACCAUCCUUCACAAUCUGUACACAACUGACUUCAAAAUCUAUGUAGGACUUUGUUCUGAAUUCUAGGUCUGUAUUUCCAUUUAUCAACAGGGUAUGUCUACCUGAAUAGCCCACAGAGCUGGCACAUUCAUUAAGCCCCAAACCUGCUGACUCCUUCACUUCCACCCAUUUUCUCAGACAUAUGUUCCCUCCUUGGGCCUACAAGCUAAGGAAAGACAAGCAACACUUCUAUCUUGUGAUCAUCUCUGGCCUAAAUGAUGGACUUGGAAGUUUUCCUAGUGGUUGUCAUAUUCAUGCCAGCAGUCCCUCCACAGAUGACAUAUUCUAAGAACUGCUAUGAUUGCCUGACACCACGGACAGUACUACACUCUAUAAAGACAAGAUGUUUUAUGAUACAUACAUAUCUAGGCUAACGUUUAAUUGAUAAAUUAGGCACAGUGAUCGAAUCACUACAACCACUGGUAACAAAAGAGAACAGUUACAACAAUAUACUGGCAUAAACGUUAUGUGACUGAAGUCUCCCUUCCUCAAAGUAUCUUACAGUACACAUGGAAUGCCUUUUCCACCUGAACUAAGUACCUAUCACGCACUGUGGCCUUAACUUUUGCAGUCUGAGGUCCAUAAGCCAAACAAGCAUGGGCUUCUUUCUCUUUCACUAUUUCCCAGACAGAAGGUGAUGUCUUACUGUAGAUCUUAGCAACUUCAGCACACCUUGUUUCUUUAUUGAGAACUUUCACCUUUUUACUGAAAGGAAGUGCUUCAAGCUGGUCUUGGAUGUGUGUAAAUUUCCUGCAUCACUACUCUUGUGCUUUGGGGUCAUCAUUGAGUAAAAUAAAGGUGACGUCAACACAAGGACUAUGAUGACAGCCUAUCCAAUUACUGAGGCAGCAACUGCAUCACUACCUGGUGGAAUUCACCAGACAAAGGGAGGGUUUGCAUCUGGGGAGAAGAAGCAAGAUGGUGAGGGGUUUCCUCACACCACUCAGAGUGGCAUCCAACUUAAAACUCAUGAGUUCUUCACUUCUGGACUCCCCCAGUUAAUCAUCUCAGACUUCAGUUGACCACAGGUCACUAAAACCAUGGUACGAGAAACCAUAGGUAAGGGGACUACUGAACACAGCAAAUCCUAUCAGUCCUCCCUCCCCCUGCCCCCACCUCCGCAGCAAACCAGACCCUCUAACACAUGCAUCUGUAGGUAUUUUCAGAGGCUUCACUGGAUGAGCCUCUUCAUAUCCUUGUCCCUAUGCACGCACACCAUUUGUCUGUCUCUCUUCUGCUCUCCCAGGCUGGCACGGCCGUCUACCUCUUUCCCUAGCUGAUCGUCUAUGGCGCAGGCAGAAUAACCAUUCGAGUAUGCAGACGUGGCAGUGCUGGUUUCCAAUUUCCCAGAGAUGGCCUACGUCAGUAAGGACGUGCAUUUUCACAGUGUAGCCUGUCUUUUGUGACUGGCUCACUGAAGCCCUUCUCUUGCUUGCCUGCCCUUGUGUUGUGUGCCUGAGACAUACACAGUUAUCUCAAAGUCUCCUGUUCUAGACCCAUUCCCAUGGGUACUGUAGACAUGCCUCCUGCCAUCACAAAACCCACUUCCCUGACUGACUUUUUCUAUUUAAGAUUUGGCUCAAGAACCAUCUCUCACAUGAACUUCUCUGUGACCAUGGAGAGAAGUAUGUUUUCUCUUCCCCUUGAACAUACCCACACGGAGUACUUAUUAUUCUGUUUUGUUUUCCUAUGUAUCAUCUUUCUAAAGACGACAUUAUCUGGAGAGAGGAUCUUUCAUGUUUCACCUUACCUUUUGUUUUGUGUGUGCCGAGCACAACACCUACUACUUUCACAGAGGUGAGAAAAAAGGCAUGCCCCCCCCCGGGGGGGGAGGUAGAAUUGACAUUUUUCUCUCACCUUGAGUUCAUGUCAUGCCUGAAAUACCAACAGAAAGUCUGCCUUGUGGUAAUGAAAACAUCUUUAGUCACUCAAGCUAGUUUUGUGGAUUAAAACUAGCACUCCCUACCCACACUUCCACUUUGAUCUCAGAACAGAACACAUCAACCAGUCAAAAAGCUUUUUGGAAGAUAUUAUGCAGCCUCUGCAGGCCCCCACUUUCCAAACAUUAAGUUGGGGAACUCCUGUUUAACUUGCAUCUAGACGUCAUCACUGAGUCACUGUGGCCAAGUCAUUAUUUUUGAAGACCCAGUCAUUCAAACAGAGCUGGGUUUCCAAAACACCAUUAAUGAUGAGCCAGGGCUACAGAAUUUCCUGGAGGGUUCCACAUACAAGGGAUUUAGAAGACUUCAAAUAGACUCCUCACCUCUGAGCUUCUGUUAGGAAAGAAAAACAGACACGAGCUCUUCACUCACUUUAUGUAAUCUCUUUGGGUGAUGAGGUCAUGGGCUCAUGGAGACGGUCUACUCAACAUCAGAGAACACAGGGGGGCUGGGAGAUUACUGCCAGCUGAAAAUGAGCAGCCCAGGUGCCUACCUGAAGAAUGUAUUUAUCACCAGACUGAGAUUCUGAUGAAGCUCACCGUUCCUUCAUUUGGUUUCCCCCAGGACAGCGGAGGGAGAAGAACCUCAUGAAAUAGCAAAUGCAUCAACACAUUUAGUUGAUGAUGUCAAGGUGUAAGGAUGAGAAAGUCUGGACGCAGGACUUGGUUUCCAAGUCUGGAAUUUCUGAGAAGUUCCUCUCAUCACUAGCCAACACAUCUCCGUUUUUUCAGACCUCUCAGAUUUAUGAGGAAGCUUAUUUCUCUGUGCCCUUUUCUGCCCAGAUGAACAGCAAAGAUGUCACAACAGGAUCAGUGCAGUUCAUCAUGGACAAAGCAAUCAUCCAGCCGUGAAAAGCACUGGGCUGUGUGGCUGUGUGGAGGAGUCUAAGGAAGGUGAACCAGGUGGUAUUUUUUAAAAUAUAAAUGUCUAGGGUUGGCAAUAUUCUAUUUAACAGUGACUCUGGUCACCGGAAUGACUAUAAGAGUUUAAGUCUAUCUACAAGGGACGUUACGUUUGUCUGUCACUUUUAUGACCUCUUUGGGAACAAUACGUUAACUAACAUAUUAAAAUACAGCCCCUCCACCCCUCCCCAUGCAGGUCUCCGGUGGAGACGGCAGAGGUAUAUUAUAUUCCAGACUUCUCAGAUCAUGGGGCCUCAUCACCACUGGCCCUUUUAAAGGUCCUCUGCCCUUUAAGAUGUGUUCCUUUUUAUCCCCGCGCCUCACCCGAAUUCUCCUUCCUGUUGCACUGGCAACAAUGCAGUAUUUUCACAGGAGUUAUUUA
rnacentral:lncRNA from 1 species